rnacentral:rRNA from 1 species
ACUCCUACGGGAGGCAGCAGUGGGGAAUAUUGCACAAUGGGCGCAAGCCUGAUGCAGCCAUGCCGCGUGUGUGAAGAAGGCCUUCGGGUUGUAAAGCACUUUCAGUUGUGAGGAAGGUGGUGUCGUUAAUAGCGGCAUCAUUUGACGUUAGCAACAGAAGAAGCACCGGCUAACUCCGUGCCAGCAGCCGCGGUAAUACGGAGGGUGCGAGCGUUAAUCGGAAUUACUGGGCGUAAAGCGCAUGCAGGUGGUUUGUUAAGUCAGAUGUGAAAGCCCGGGGCUCAACCUCGGAACUGCAUUUGAAACUGGCAGACUAGAGUACUGUAGAGGGGGGUAGAAUUUCAGGUGUAGCGGUGAAAUGCGUAGAGAUCUGAAGGAAUACCGGUGGCGAAGGCGGCCCCCUGGACAGAUACUGACACUCAGAUG